rnacentral:rRNA from 1 species
GAUGAACGCUGGCGGCGUGCCUAAUACAUGCAAGUCGAGCGAACAGACGAGGAGCUUGCUCCUCUGACGUUAGCGGCGGACGGGUGAGUAACACGUGGAUAACCUACCUAUAAGACUGGGAUAACUUCGGGAAACCGGAGCUAAUACCGGAUAAUAUAUUGAACCGCAUGGUUCAAUAGUGAAAGACGGUUUUGCUGUCACUUAUAGAUGGAUCCGCGCCGCAUUAGCUAGUUGGUAAGGUAACGGCUUACCAAGGCAACGAUGCGUAGCCGACCUGAGAGGGUGGUCGGCCACACUGGAACUGAGACACGGUCCAGGCUCCUACGGGAGGCAGCAGUAGGGAAUCUUCCGCAAUGGGCGAAAGCCUGACGGAGCAGCGCCGCGUGAGUGAUGAAGGUCUUCGGAUCGUAAAGCUCUGUUAUUAGGGAAGAACAAAUGUGUAAGUAACUAUGCACGUCUUGACGGUACCUAAUCAGAAAGCCACGGCUAACUACGUG